UACAGAGGUCUCAAGCGUUGUUCGGAUUCAUUGGGCGUAAAGGGUGCGUAGGCGGCGCGGUAAGUCGGGUGUGAAAUCUCGGGGCUUAACUCCGAAACUGCAUUCGAUACUGGCGUGCUUGAGGACUGGAGAGGAGACUGGAAUUCAUGGUGUAGCAGUGAAAUGCGUAGAGAUCAUGAGGAAGACCAGUGGCGAAGGCGGGUCUCUGGACAGUUCCUGACACUGAGACACGAAGGCCAGGGGAGCAAACGGG
rnacentral:rRNA from 1 species